GUGUUAUUUAUGGGUCUCGGUGACUCUGAUGAUGAGGGUGAGCUGCAUCUUAUCAACUAGCAAAACUAACUGGAUUAAAGGGAACCCCGCAUGUUUCAUCAAAAGGAUAAUUCAGAGGGCUGCUUAGCAGUGCAGCUGGAUGGGGACGUGUCCUUUUGUCCUUGAGCGGCAAUGUGACUCAGGGAAAGCCCUGGCCAAACACACAGGGGUCAAGACCGCAGUGAGGACCCUUCGCCAGCUUCCUGCCUUGUAAAGUGGGGCUCAACCCACCCCAGCAGGCACGUACAGUGAUGACUGGGGGGAGACUGCAUAGAACAUUUGGCACUUCUGUGCUCAGUAAAUGCUGCCUACGAGAUGAUUAUAACCUUCCUUACCUGGCUCUCAGCUCGCCUCUGGGAACACAUCGCUCAAAGCCCAGGAUGUAAAGACGAUCAUCUUUAUGUGGGGUUUGAGCCCUUUCAAAAUAUAAAUUCAAACAGUAAAACCCGCUUGGAAUCCCAGACCCCGAUGUUCAAAUAACAUCCAAAGGGACUCUCAGACUCAAAUGAUGCUGCCAGUUGGAUGGGAUGGCACUCAGUCUGUUCCUUUAACUUCUUUGGGCAUCUACAUGCUGCAUGAUGAGCAGGGACUCCGGCAGCUGCAUUACCUACCUUAUAUCAGACCUUCUACAAGAUAAAGACCACUGCUCUGCAAGAAUGGGUGCUGCAGUGCGGAAUACAGACGUUGGUAACCUGCAUACUCCCCUUAAGGCUCUCAGAGUGAUGGAUGGAGGUGGUGAGUACAGGUGUAAUGCACGAAGAGUUGGAUGAUGGUACAGAGGUAUGUGAGUUCAGUGGCAACUAAUGGAGCUGCCAGCCUGGGCAGUGGCACUGGAACUCCAAGGUGAGAAGAGCCUUGAAGAGUGAAUGCAUCUACGAAAGCAUCUUUGAGGAAGUGGAAUUUGCCCUGGCCCUAAAACCUGGUUUAUCUGGAGCCGGACAUCUCAAUUCAAUUAGUUUUAAUAGCAAACAGUUAUCACAUAUGAUAAAGAUGCAUCAGAAGACCAGGCUCAUGGCACCUUGGUGUCCAGACUCCAUCUCUGCUUCCCUGUGGUUACUCUCAAAUUUGUUCUCUUCCGAACUUGGAUAGUAGCAUAUGACACAACAGUUCCGGGAUCCAAAUCCAGGUGGGACACAACACCCAGAGGAAGAAUGGGACCCUCUCUUUCUGCUUCCUUCUUAGGAGCAAGGAAAACAUUCCCAGAAUUCCUCCACAGCUGAUUUUCCCUGAUUGACCAGAAUUGCAUAGUGUCCAGUACUAAACCAAUCACUGGCAAAAGGAAGGCAAUUACUCUGACUGGCUUGUUCCAAUUAGGAUUUAUUCUUGGAGAUGGGGAUGGGAUGGGUUUGGGAAGGUGUGGCUUUCUGAAAAUAAUUUGGGUUCCCUUAGAAAGCAGAAGGACCAGAAUGACAUUGUGCUGUAGGCCACUGAGUAUGUUAUGCACAAAGAUUUACUUUGCAUAAUUAAAAUGGGGAGAGGACCCACUAAACAGGGGCAAAGUGAGGAUGCCUCAUUUGAGGAGAAAAGAUUAAUUUGGCUGAAGCUUGAAGGUAGGAGGAGGUGCUACACCCAGAAGAGGAUCAUACCUGGGCUGUUGGUAUCCUCUGCCUGAAGCAUCCCUCAGAACUUUGGCUUGAAUGCCCCCCCUGUGCCCACUGAGUGCACGUAUUGGGUGCUGAUGUGUUUCUGGUGAGCUGAUAUUCUGGCUAAAGGUGGGAUGGAUGUUCUGAAUGAUGGUGAGGUAACAAAAUGGAAACUGGUCAUAUAGAA
rnacentral:lncRNA from 1 species